rnacentral:rRNA from 1 species
AAUUUUGGACAAUGGGCGCAAGCCUGAUCCAGCAAUGCCGCGUGCAGGAUGAAGGCCUUCGGGUUGUAAACUGCUUUUGUACGGAACGAAAAGCCCUGGGUUAAUACCCUGGCGUCAUGUCGGUAACGCAAGAAUAAGCACCGGCUAACUACGUGCCAGACGCCGCGGUAAUACGUAGGGUGCGAGCGUUAAUCGGAAUUCCUGGGCGUAAAGCGUGCGCAGGCGGUUUUGUAAGACAGAGGUGAAAUCCCCGGGCUCAACCUGGGAACUGCCUUUGUGACUGCAAGGCUAGAGUACGGCAGAGGGGGAUGGAAUUCCGCGUGUAGCAGUGAAAUGCGUAGAUAUGCGGAGGAACACCGAUGGCGAAGGCAAUCCCCUGGGCCUGUACUGACGCUCAUGCACGAAAGCGUGGGGAGCAAACAGG